AUAAACAUUCCUGCUGCUCUUUUGUGUUACUUCCUGCGGUAAAACAGUCAGGCACUCCAGUCGCGCCGACGCAGGCUAGCUAGUGCACCAUCUCGCCCCUGGGUGCACCAUCUCUGUCUCUAACUGGAGUGACCCGGGGCCUACUUCUAGAGCAGGUGCAGAGCGGGCUGUUGACUUUUACCACAAGGGUCUUUUGCAGGAAAGGAAAAGAGGAAAAGAUGCCUGUGUGACAGCUCUACCUGUAUGUUCGAUCUCAGAAAUGGAACUUUUUGGAUUUUUUGGCUCUACAGCACAUCAAGGGUAUUUGUUACCUUCUGAACAUCAAUAUAGUUCCGGGCAGGCCAGCUAAGAACCAUAGUGUCCAGACCUUGAGAGCAGCUCUAUUCCUCGUCUCAGACCCUCCGUACUGUCAACAUGUCUCCAGCAGAGCUAUGUAAACAGCUCAGCCACAGCACAGGGCCCACUGUCAGAGCCUGAUUAUCCCAAACAGCCCCCAAUCAAAUGGAAAUAUGAAAUAAAUCACAAGUG